rnacentral:rRNA from 1 species
GUGUCAGCAGCCGCGGUAAUACGUAGGUGGCAAGCGUUACUCGGAAUCACUAGGCGUAAAGCGCAGGUAGGAGGUUGGAUAAGUCUCUUGUGAAAGCUCCCGGCUUAACUGGGAGAGGUCAAGGGAAACUGUUCGGCUAGAGUGUGGUAGAGGAAGAUGGAAUUCCCGGUGUAGCGGUGAAAUGCGUAGAUAUCGGGAGGAAUACCUAUGGCGAAAGCAGUCUUCUGGACCAUCACUGACUCUGAUCUGCGAAAGCUAGGGGAGCAAACAGGAUUAGAAACCCUCGUAGUCC